GGGAGCUUGCUCCCGGAUGUUAGCGGCGGACGGGUGAGUAACACGUGGGUAACCUGCCUGUAAGACUGGGAUAACUCCGGGAAACCGGAGCUAAUACCGGAUAGUUCCUUGAACCGCAUGGUUCAAGGAUGAAAGACGGUUUCGGCUGUCACUUACAGAUGGACCCGCGGCGCAUUAGCUAGUUGGUGGGGUAAUGGCUCACCAAGGCGACGAUGCGUAGCCGACCUGAGAGGGUGAUCGGCCACACUGGGACUGAGACACGGCCCAGACUCCUACGGGAGGCAGCAGUAGGGAAUCUUCCGCAAUGGACGAAAGUCUGACGGAGCAACGCCGCGUGAGUGAUGAAGGUUUUCGGAUCGUAAAGCUCUGUUGUUAGGGAAGAACAAGUGCGAGAGUAACUGCUCGCACCUUGACGGUACCUAACCAGAAAGCCACGGCUAACUACGUGCCAGCAGCCGCGGUAAUACGUAGGUGGCAAGCGUUGUCCGGAAUUAUUGGGCGUAAAGGGCUCGCAGGCGGUUUCUUAAGUCUGAUGUGAAAGCCCCCGGCUCAACCGGGGAGGGUCAUUGGAAACUGGGAAACUUGAGUGCAGAAGAGGAGAGUGGAAUUCCACGUGUAGCGGUGAAAUGCGUAGAGAUGUGGAGGAACACCAGUGGCGAAGGCGACUCUCUGGUCUGUAACUGACGCUGAGGAGCGAAAGCGUGGGGAGCGAACAGGAUUAGAUACCCUGGUAGUCCACGCCGUAAACGAUGAGUGCUAAGUGUUAGGGGGUUUCCGCCCCUUAGUGCUGCAGCUAACGCAUUAAGCACUCCGCCUG
rnacentral:rRNA from 1 species